rnacentral:rRNA from 1 species
AAAGAUGGUGAACUAUGCCUGGCCAGGUUGAAGUCAGGGGAAACCCUGAUGGAGGACCGUAGCGAUUCUGACGUGCAAAUCGAUCGUCGGAGCUGGGUAUAGGGGCGAAAGACUAAUCGAACCAUCUAGUAGCUGGUUCCUUCCGAAGUUUCCCUCAGGAUAGCUGGUGCUCGUAAUCGAGUUUCAUCCGGUAAAGCGAAUGAUUAGAAGUAUUGGGGGCGAAACGCCCUCAACUUAUUCUCAAACUUUAAAUGGGUGAGAAGCGGGACUUGCUUAAUUGAAGCCUCGCAACGAAUCGGAGUGCCUAGUGGGCCAUUUUUGGUAAGCAGAACUGGCGCUGUGGGAUGAACCGAACGUCGAGUUAAAGUGCCAAAGUGUGCGCUCAUCAGAUCCCAUGAAAGGUGUUGGUUGCUUAAGACAGCAGGACGGUGGCCAUGGAAGUCGGAAUCCGCUAAGGAAUGUGUAACAACUCACCUGCCGAAGCAACUAGCCCUGAAAAUGGAUGGCGCUAAAGCGCGCCACUUAUACUCGACCGUUGGAGCAGAGCUGGCCCUCGCGGCCCUGACGCUCCAACGAGUAGGAAGGUCGCGUGGGUGGCGCCGAAGGCUUUUGGGUGUGAACCUGGCCGGAGCCGCCCACGGUGCAGAUCUUGGUGGUAGUAGCAAAUACUCCAGAGAGGCCCUGGAGGACCGAUGUGGAGAAGGGUUUCGUGUGAACAGCCGUUGAACACGAGUCAGUCGAUCCUAAGGCUUAGGGGAAACCUUAAUCAAGCGUGCGGCGUUUUUCUCAGGGAAACCGCAACUUGGCCGAAAGGGAAUUUGGUCCUUAUUCCAAAACCUGGACGUGGAACCGUUUCGGAAUCUCGUAUUCCGUCGUGGCAACGCGACACGACUGGGAGACGCCCACCGAAGCUCUGGGAAGAGUUGUCUUUUCUGCAUAAGCCGCCGAGGCCCUGGAAUUCUCUCGCAGAGCGAACGGGUUUUGGUUUUGGCGAAGACGCUCGCAGUUCUCGCGAGCGCCACGAGUGGUCGGUGGGACCUUGAAAAUCCCAGGGAGAUUACGGCGGACUCACUCCAGCUCGUACCCAUAUCCGCAGCAGGUCUCCAAGGUGAACAGCCUCUGGUCGAUAGAAUAAUGUAGGUAAGGGAAGUCGGCAAAUUGGAUCCGUAACUUCGGGAUAAGGAUUGGCUCUGAGGGUCGGGACGGUCGGGCUUUGCGCAGGAAGCUGCUGUGCCCACCGGCGGGCCUGGGCGAGGGUCUUCGGACUCGAACCCGGUCCCGUUCACGGGCCUCGGUGGAUGGCCAUUGCUUCGGGGUCGGCUUUCGGGCCGGCCCCUCGACCGUCGAGCAACGACCGACUCAGAACUGGCACGUGUUUGUGUCACAUUUUGCAAUAAAAAGUUGUCUCGAUUAAUAGUGAGACACCUUCCCGGUAUGUGAAAGGUCCUGAAAAGCAACUUGGCGCUUCAGUAUGCCCCCUGUAGGAUGC